rnacentral:rRNA from 1 species
UCAAGAGUACGUGAAACCGUUCAGGGGUAAACCUGAGAAACCCGAAAGAUCGAAAGGGGAGAUUCACCGUCAGCGACGUCGGCUUCUCGACGGUUCGUCGCGCGCGCGCGCGGCAUCCCUCGCGGAUGUCCCGUUGCGUCGUCGCGCGGCGUCCGUUGUGCGCGCGCGUUUCGCGCGCGCGAUCUAUGUCCGGCGGCGUCGGCGUGCACUUCUCCCCCAGUAGGACGUCGCGACCCGUUGGGUGUCGGUCUACGGCCCGGAUCGUCGCCUGUCCCGCCGCCUCGCGGCGUCGCGGGGCAGACGUCCGGUGUUACCUAGCCGACCGGCUGCUCGGCGGUAUAAAAUCGACGGUACUCUGGCCGCAACUAUUCGCACAGUGCGUCCUUCGAAAAAGGCUCGCCGCAAGCGCGGUCAGUGCACUCCCGGUGGCUUUCGGACGAACUGCGCCGUCCCCGGGCCUGACCCGCUGUUCGCCGGCGAUGUCCUCGGACAGGCCAUGCGCGCGGUUCGCCGCGCGCAUUAACGUACCGGUCGGCGACGCUAUUGCUUUGGGUACUUUCAGGACCCGUCUUGAAA